rnacentral:rRNA from 1 species
CCAUGUGACCUACCCAUGAGCAGGUUGAAGGUGCGGUAAGACGCACUGGAGGACCGAACCAGGGCACGUUGAAAAGUGCUUGGAUGACUUGUGGGUAGCGGAGAAAUUCCAAACGAACUUGGAGAUAGCUGGUUCUCUCCGAAAUAGCUUUAGGGCUAGCGUCGAUGUUAAGUCUCUUGGAGGUAGAGCACUGUUUGGGUGAGGGGUCCAUCUCGGAUUACCAAUCUCAGAUAAACUCCGAAUGCCAACGAGAUAUAAUCGGCAGUCAGACUGCGAGUGCUAAGAUCCGUAGUCGAAAGGGAAACAGCCCAGACCACCAGCUAAGGUCCCAAAAUAUAUGUUAAGUGGAAAAGGAUGUGGGGUUGCACAGACAACUAGGAUGUUAGCUUAGAAGCAGCUAUUCAUUCAAAGAGUGCGUAAUAGCUCACUAGUCGAGUGACCCUGCGCCGAAAAUGUACCGGGGCUAAAACAGUUUACCGAAGCUGUGGAUGACACAAAAGUGUCAUGGUAGGAGAGCGUUCUAUGUGUGAAGAAGGUGUACCGUGAGGAGCGCUGGAACGCAUAGAAGUGAGAAUGCCGGUAUGAGUAGCGAAAGACAGGUGAGAAUCCUGUCCACCGUAAGACUAAGGUUUCCAGGGGAAGGCUCGUCCGCCCUGGGUUAGUCGGGACCUAAGGAGAGACCGAAAGGUGUAUCCGAUGGCCAACAGGUUGAUAUUCCUGUACUAGAGUAUAUAGUGAUGGAGGGACGCAGUAGGCUAACUAAAC